rnacentral:rRNA from 1 species
AGUGAACGCUGGCGGCGUGCCUACUACAUGCAAGUCGAACGAGUGGCGCCCGGGCGAGUCAUGUAUAGCUACUAUGCCCUCCACUAGAGGACAACAGUUGGAAACGACUGCAAAUACUCUAUAGUGUAGGUAGAGGCUAUAUUGUAUCAGCUAGUUGGUGAGGUAAUGGCUCACCCAGGCUAUGACGCAUAACUGGUCUGAGAGGAUGAGCAGUCACCCCCGAACUGAGACACCGUUGAUACUCCUACGGGAGGCAGCAGUAGGGAAGAGUGCUCAAUGGGGGAAUACCUGAAGCAGCAUCGCCGUGUGGAGGAUGAUACUUUGCGGAGCGUAAACGCCGUUUGGUAGGGAAGCGGUACCUAACGAAUAAGCACCGGCGAACUCCGUGCCAGCAGCCGCGGUAAUUC